CUCUGUCCUCUAGGGCCUUAGUCCUCUAUCCCAUUGCCCACUGUGCAGGAAUGGCGUAGCCAUCUAAUAAGCCUUUCUCUUCUUGGCUGCCAACCUUGUGAUGUUUAUUGUUCAACAGUGGUUGUGCCCUGUGUUCUUUAGUAGGAGGAGAGGUACCAUAUCUACUCUCCAUCCAAGUCACCACCUCUCUCCAAGGGAAAGAUACAGACUCAGCAUAAAGGUGUCCUCCAAGACAGGGCAGUGAUGGAUCUUUAUUAGUAUUGUGGCUUGCCCUGACGCCGUCUAUGACAGGAAUGUCUCUUCUCUUGACCUACCAUCACCGUUCUUACAUAAAAUGCACCGCCGCCGCCACCACCACCACCACCACCACCACCCGGCCUUCAUCAGUGCUGUGCCUUGUGACUGGCAACUCAGACUUCCUGACCCUCUGUCGGUCAGCACUGGGCAGAAGAAUGGAUCUUCUUGACAAAACGCAUUUCCUGUCUGGAAAGCUGGCCACUUCUAGUUUCCCACAUGGUACCAUCUGGCUCUUAGAAGAAGAUGCCGGCUUUAAGGAAGCCUUGCUAUUUAGACAGAUGCAGCAUUUGUAUCUAUUGGAGAACUUUCCAUCCCCCAAUGUUUUACAAGGCAAAAGUCAUCCAAUAA
rnacentral:lncRNA from 1 species